CGUUCUACCGCAUCUACAAGAGCAAGUCGACGGAAGGCUUCCAGUCGGUUCCCUACGUGGUUGCCCUGUUCAGCGCCAUGCUGUGGAUCUUCUACGCACUGAUCAAGUCCAACGAGACCUUCCUCAUCACCAUCAACGCCGCCGGCUGCGUCAUCGAGACCAUCUACGUCGUCAUGUACUUCGUCUACGCGCCCAAGAAAGCCAAGCUGUUCACGGCCAAGAUCAUGGUCCUCCUCAAUGGCGGCGUCUUUGGGGUCAUCCUCCUGCUCACCCUUCUCCUCUUCAA
rnacentral:lncRNA from 1 species